rnacentral:rRNA from 1 species
GACAGAGGGUGCGAACGUUGCUCGGAAUUACUGGGCGUAAAGCGCGUGUAGGCGGGUGAUCAAGUCAGGUGUGAAAUCCCCGGGCUCAACCUGGGAAUUGCAUUCGAUACUGGAUAGCUAGAGUUCGGCAGAGGGAAGCGGAAUUUCUGGUGUAGCGGUGAAAUGCGUAGAUAUCAGAAGGAACAUCAGUGGCGAAAGCGGCUUCCUGGACCAGAACUGACGAUCAGGCUCGAAAGCGUGGGGAGCAAACAGG